GGCUUUGUGGUCUAGGUGGUAUGAUUCUUGCUUAGGGUGCAAGAGGUCCCGGGUUCGAAUCCCGGCAAAGCCC
rfam:Rozella allomycis CSF55 unplaced genomic scaffold scaffold_4115, whole genome shotgun sequence.